GAUGAAGAACGUAGCGAAAUGCGAUAAGUAGUGUGAAUUGCAGAAUUCAGUGAAUCAUCGAAUCUUUGAACGCACAUUGCGCCCCUUGGUAUUCCAUGGGGCAUGCCUGUUCGAGCGUCAUUUGUACCUUCAAGCCUUGCUUGGUGUUGGGUGUUUGUCUCGCCUCUGCGCGCAGACUCGCCUCAAAACAAUUGGCAGCCGGCGUAUUGAUUUCGGAGCGCAGUACAUCUCGCGCUUUGCACUCAGAACGACGACGUCCAAAAGUACAUUUUUACACUCUUGACCUCGGAACAGGUAGGGAUACCCGCUGAACUUAAGCAUAUCAAUAAGCGGAGGA
rnacentral:misc_RNA from 1 species